GAUGAACGCUAGCGGCAGGCUUAAUACAUGCAAGUCGUACGGGAUCCGAGGUAGCAAUACUUUGGUGAGAGUGGCGCACGGGUGCGUAACACGUAUGCAACCUACCUUUAACCGGGACACAACCUCGAGAAAUUGAGGCUAAUAUCCCAUAACACUGCGAGAUGGCAUCAUUUUGCAGUUAAAACUCCGGUGGUUAUUGAUGGGCAUGCGCGACAUUAGCUAGUUGGUGAGGUAACGGCCCACCAAGGCUACGAUGUCUAGGGGUUCUGAGAGGAUUAUCCCCCACACUGGUACUGAGACACGGACCAGACUCCUACGGGAGGCAGCAGUAAGGAAUAUUGGUCAAUGGGCGCAAGCCUGAACCAGCCAUGCCGCGUGAAGGAUGACGGCCCUAUGGGUUGUAAACUUCUUUUGUACGGGAAAAAACCGCCGGUCGUGUAUCGGUGCUGAUGGUACCGUAAGAAUAAGCAUCGGCUAACUCCGUGCCAGCAGCCGCGGUAAUACGGAGGAUGCAAGCGUUAUCCGGAUUCAUUGGGUUUAAAGGGUGCGCAGGCGGAAUAUUAAGUCAGUGGUGAAAGCCUACAGCUCAACUGUAGAACUGCCAUUGAUACUGAUAUUCUUGAGUGUUGUUGAGGUAGGCGGAAUGUGUCAUGUAGCGGUGAAAUGCUUAGAUAUGACACAGAACACCGAUCGCGAAGGCAGCUUACCAAGCAACAACUGACGCUCAUGCACGAAAGCGUGGGGAUCAAACAGGAUUAGAUACCCUGGUAGUCCACGCCGUAAACGAUGAUCACUCGAUGUUGGCGAUACACAGUCAGCGUCUUAGGGAAACUAUUAAGUGAUCCACCUGGGGAGUACGGUCGCAAGAUUGAAACUCAAAGGAAUUGACGGGGGCCCGCACAAGCGGAGGAGCAUGUGGUUUAAUUCGAUGAUACGCGAGGAACCUUACCUGGGCUCGAACGUGGAAUGACAGUCGCGGAAACGUGAUCUUCUUCGGACAUUCUACGAGGUGCUGCAUGGUUGUCGUCAGCUCGUGCCGUGAGGUGUCGGGUUAAGUCCCAUAACGAGCGCAACCCCUAUCUUUAGUUGCCAUCAGGUAAUGCUGGGGACUCUAAAGAAACUGCCUACGCAAGUAGUGAGGAAGGCGGGGAUGACGUCAAAUCAGCACGGCCCUUACGUCCAGGGCUACACACGUGCUACAAUGGCCGAUACAGAGGGCAGCAACCCCGCGAGGGGUAGCUAAUCCGGAAAAGUCGGUCUCAGUUCGGAUCGGAGUCUGCAACCCGACUCCGUGAAGCUGGAUUCGCUAGUAAUCGCGCAUCAGCCAUGGCGCGGUGAAUACGUUCCCGGGUCUUGUACACACCGCCCGUCAAACCAUGGGAGCCGAGGGUACCUGAAGUCUGUGACCGCAAGGAGCGGCCUAGGGUAAAAUUGGUGACUAGGGU
rnacentral:rRNA from 1 species